GAGCCUGCUUCACGGCCAUCUUAAGCGGAACAGACCGGUUAUCUCGUUUCCCCAAGAACUGCCUGACCGAGCCGCCUCUGGCGAACUCGGUGACGAUGCACCAUACCAUCGGCUUCCUGCAUGCCCCGAUGAAGCGGACCACAUUCGGGUGCUGUAGCGUGGCAAGCAUCCUCACUUCCUGGGCAAACUGUUGUUCCAUCAGGUGCGCCUUCCCGGGGUCAUCCACGGUCCGCUCCAGGAGCUUGAUUGCCACUUCUUCCCCGCUGUACGUACCCUUGUAGAGCUUCCCAAAGGCCCCCUGCGCGAAGGGCAUGCCCAUGUUUAGCUUCCUCAGAUCGAUGGUCCACUCG
rnacentral:lncRNA from 1 species